rnacentral:rRNA from 1 species
GCUACCACUUACAGAUGGACCCGCGGCGCAUUAGCUAGUUGGUGAGGUAACGGCUCACCAAGGCGACGAUGCGUAGCCGACCUGAGAGGGUGAUCGGCCACACUGGGACUGAGACACGGCCCAGACUCCUACGGGAGGCAGCAGUAGGGAAUCUUCCGCAAUGGACGAAAGUCUGACGGAGCAACGCCGCGUGAGUGAUGAAGGUUUUCGGAUCGUAAAACUCUGUUGUUAGGGAAGAACAAGUACCGUUCGAAUAGGGCGGUACCUUGACGGUACCUAACCAGAAAGCCACGGCUAACUACGUGCCAGCAGCCGCGGUAAUACGUAGGUGGCAAGCGUUGUCCGGAAUUAUUGGGCGUAAAGCGCGCGCAGGCGGUUUCUUAAGUCUGAUGUGAAAGCCCCCGGCUCAACCGGGGAGGGUCAUUGGAAACUGGGGAACUUGAGUGCAGAAGAGGAGAGUGGAAUUCCACGUGUAGCGGUGAAAUGCGUAGAGAUGUGGAGGAACACCAGUGGCGAAGGCGACUCUCUGGUCUGUAACUGACGCUGAGGCGCGAAAGCGUGGGGAGCGAACAGGAUUAGAUACCCUGGUAGUCCACGCCGUAAACGAUGAGUGCUAAGUGUUAGAGGGUUUCCGCCCUUUAGUGCUGCAGCAAACGCAUUAA